rnacentral:tRNA from 1 species
CAAAUUAGAGCUUGGUUAAGCGUUUUAUUUACACUAAAAAGUUAAUUGUGAAAUUCAAUUUAAUUUGA